rnacentral:rRNA from 1 species
GGCAGGCUUAACACAUGCAAGUCGAGCGCCUCGCAAGAGGAGCGGCAGACGGGUGAGUAACGCGUGGGAAUCUACCGUACCCUACGGAAUAGCUCCGGGAAACUGGAAUUAAUACCGUAUACGCCCUUCGGGGGAAAGAUUUAUCGGGGUAUGAUGAGCCCGCGUUGGAUUAGCUAGUUGGUGGGGUAAAGGCCUACCAAGGCGACGAUCCAUAGCUGGUCUGAGAGGAUGAUCAGCCACAUUGGGACUGAGACACGGCCCAAACUCCUACGGGAGGCAGCAGUGGGGAAUAUUGGACAAUGGGCGCAAGCCUGAUCCAGCCAUGCCGCGUGAGUGAUGAAGGCCCUAGGGUUGUAAAGCUCUUUCACCGGUGAAGAUAAUGACGGUAACCGGAGAAGAAGCCCCGGCUAACUUCGUGCCAGCAGCCGCGGUAAUACGAAGGGGGCUAGCGUUGUUCGGAAUUACUGGGCGUAAAGCGCACGUAGGCGGAUAUUUAAGUCAGGGGUGAAAUCCCAGAGCUCAACUCUGGAACUGCCUUUGAUACUGGGUAUCUCGAGUAUGGAAGAGGUGAGUGGAAUUCCGAGUGUAGAGGUGAAAUUCGUAGAUAUUCGGAGGAACACCAGUGGCGAAGGCGGCUCACUGGUCCAUUACUGACGCUGAGGUGCGAAAGCGU